AAUUGUAAAAAAUGGGGGAACGGGUGAAUAAAAAGUGGAAAACUUACUUUUUAAGCAGGGGAUAAAAUUGGGAACAAAAUGGUAAUCCGGAUAACAAUGCAAACCGGAAUGGUUGUUAUUUAAAAAAGGUUUUGGUAUCAUUAAAAAAUGGUCCCGGGGUGGAUUAGGUAGGUGGUAAGGUAAUGGGUUACCAAGGCAAUAAUGCAUAGCCGAGUUGAAGACUGAUCGGCCACAAUGGGACUUAAACACGGCCCAUAUUCUUACGGGAGGCAGCAGUAGGGAAUUUUUCCCCAAUGGGGGAAAGCCUGAUGAAGCAACGCCGGGGGUGUGAUGAAGGGUUUCGGCUCGUAAAACACUGUUGUAAGAGAAGAAUGACAUUGAGAGUAACUGUUCAAUGUGUGACGGUAUCUUACCAGAAAGGAACGGGUAAAUACGUGCCAGCAGCCGCGGUAAUACGUAUGUUCCAAGCGUUAUCCGGAUUUAUUGGGCGUAAAGCGAGCGCAGACGGUUAUUUAAGUCUGAAGUGAAAGCCCUCAGCUCAACUGAGGAAUUGCUUUGGAAACUGGAUGACUUGAGUGCAGUAGAGGAAAGUGGAACUCCAUGUGUAGCGGUGAAAUGCGUAGAUAUAUGGAAGAACACCAGUGGCGAAGGCGGCUUUCUGGACUGUAACUGACGUUGAGGCUCGAAAGUGUGGGUAGCAAACAGGAUUAGAUACCCUGGUAGUCCACACCGUAAACGAUGAGUGCUAGGUGUUUGAGGGUUUCCGCCCUUAAGUGCCGCAGCUAACGCAUUAAGCACUCCGCCUGGGGAGUACGACCGCAAGGUUGAAACUCAAAGGAAUUGACGGGGACCCGCACAAGCGGUGGAGCAUGUGGUUUAAUUCGAAGCAACGCGAAGAACCUUACCAGGUCUUGACAUCCCUUGACAACUCCAGAGAUGGAGCGUUCCCUUCGGGGACAAGGUGACAGGUGGUGCAUGGUUGUCGUCAGCUCGUGUCGUGAGAUGUUGGGUUAAGUCCCGCAACGAGCGCAACCCUUAUUACUAGUUGCCAGCAUUCAGUUGGGCACUCUAGUGAGACUGCCGGUGACAAACCGGAGGAAGGUGGGGAUGACGUCAAAUCAUCAUGCCCCUUAUGACCUGGGCUACACACGUGCUACAAUGGCGUAUACAACGAGUUGCCAACCCGCGAGGGUGAGCUAAUCUCUUAAAGUACGUCUCAGUUCGGAUUGUAGGCUGCAACUCGCCUACAUGAAGUCGGAAUCGCUAGUAAUCGCGGAUCAGCACGCCGCGGUGAAUACGUUCCCGGGUCUUGUACACACCGCCCGUCACACCAUGAGAGUUUGUAACACCCAAAGCCGGUGGGGUAACCUUCGGGAGCCAGCCGUCUAAGGUGGGACAGGAUAUUAGGGGAUC
rnacentral:rRNA from 1 species